rnacentral:rRNA from 1 species
AGAGUUUGAUUAUGGCUCAGGAUGAACGCUGGCGGCGUGCCUAAUACAUGCAAGUCGAACGAGGGUGCUUGCACCCUAGUGGCGAACGGGUGAGUAACACGUAGGUAACCUGCCCUUAAGCUUGGGAUACCCAGAGGAAACUUUGGCUAAUACCGGAUAACAACAGAAGAGGCAUCUCUUCAGUUUGAAAGGCCCUUUACGGGGUCACUUAAGGAUGGACCUGCGGCGCAUUAGCUAGUUGGUGAGAUAACAGCCCACCAAGGCGAGGAUGCGUAGCCGACCUGAGAGGGUGAUCGGCCACAUUGGAACUGAGACACGGUCCAAACUCCUACGGGAGGCAGCAGUAAGGAGUUUUCGGCAAUGGGGGAAACCCUGACCGAGCAACGCCGCGUGAGUGAAUGACGGCCCUAUGGGUUGUAAAGCUCUGUUGUAAGGGACGAAUGAUUCGCUUAGGAAAUGAAGCGGAUUUGACGGUACCUUACCAGAAAGCCACGGCUAACUACGUGCCAGCCGCUGC